GGAGCCCAGAUGUGGAGUCCGAGGGAGACGUCAGUACAGAGAAGGGAGAAGUGAAAGUGAAAAACCCUGGGGCUGCUGGACACUCCAGGUAAGCCUCCUGAGGUCCCUGGCCCUGUGAGUCAGGUGGUGGAGGGGAGGGGGUCCUCCCAGCCCCUCAUUAACCCCUUCACACCUAGGCUGGGACCAGGAGACCAGGCUAGGUGAGAAAAAGUGUGGGAGCAGAAAGGACUGUGGCAUGGACAAACUCUGAUCUGAUCGAGAGCAUGCUGGAAGAGGUCAGGAUCCUCCGCUAGGCUGCUCAGCUGGAGGGGCGCCCCUGCUCCACCCACAGCUGAUACUCACCCAAGUGGUUGCAGAACCUGACUGAACCCACUGUCAAAGCCCAGGGAGUGCCAGAGGGGCCCAAAGGGCCAGAAGUGGAGGCCUGAGCCCCCAGUCCUCCACAGCAUUGCUGCCUUCCACGCCUCCUUCUGUCCUUUUUGGGGGCCGCCCCACAGCUUUCUUCGACACCACUGUAACCCCACCCUUGGUGCCUACCGCCCAGAGGGAGCCCGCGCCCAGUGGCCCUGCGCCCCGCACAUCCGCCACUAGCACCCCACGCAAUCGCCACCAUCAUCUGCGGGAAGUCUUCCUUUCUCACCUGGAUCGGUCGCGGUUCCUUUCCGCUUCACUCCCCCUGCCGGCCAUGCCUCUGAGAGCGUGAGGUAGGAGGCCUGGCUGGGCGGCUGUCUGCACGGGCCAGGAGUGCUGGGUGCCGCCAGGGGUCUCGUGCUGCUGGGGGCGGGGGUCUGCCUCCUUAAGGCUCUGCUUGAGCUCAGGGCCUGGGCUGCGCAGGCCAUCCCUCUACCCCAGAUGCAGACUGAAGACAAGACCCACGUUUCACCGCACCAGAGGGCAGCAAGGUGCGAACUAUGGCGGGACCACUUUACAGUCCCUAAAACCCUCACUCUGCUUUGACCAGCAGCCUCAAGUUUCAGGAUGGGGACCAGCAGUCUAGCUGAGGGCAAGAGGCAGCAGAGGUGGGAUGGAGCUGAGGCAGCCGCCCCUCUGGGGCACGGAUAGGGUUGUAGUCUGUGCUUCUCCCUCUGGGCCCUGUGCAGGGUCCCACGUGGGCUCUGGGCUGCACCCUGGCACUGCCCCUGGUGCCUUGAGAUCGAAGGCUCACUCAUCCCCUGUCCCAGCAUCUUGGGAGUUUUGCCUGAAGCAAGCCCUGUUUUGGCUGUUUUCUCCCGCAUGCAGGAGGCGGCCCCUGGAGUCUUCUUGGCUGGCCGCAGCCACCCAGCUCCGCCUCCCCAGAGUGCACGUGGCUCCCUAGGGGAGUCGUCAAGACCCGAGCCCUCACAGCUUUUGGUGGGACCCCACUCCUCACUAUCCCGCCACUGUAAAGGUGCAUCCACGGCGCCACGCCCAGAGCUCAGAAUUCCAGCCAGGCCUCCUGAUUUCCAUUCCUGGAAAGACCUGCGCGCCCUUGCGCAUCUCUGGUGGGUGCAAAGCCCACCAAUGGUUGUACUCGAGUGCUCCUAGAGACAAGGUGGUCACCACCUGCUCUCCCAUCGUGGGUCUCCCGCCAGCUGGAGCACAUGCACACAUAGAUGGAGCAGAGCAGGGAGUGUGCAGGGUGUGAGCUCACUGCGCACUGAGGAACCCAUCCCCCAGGAAGCGGAGCAUGGAGCGGGGCAGAACAGGGCUGCCUCACCCUGCGUUUAGAAAGAGAGGGGCUGGGCUUUCCUUGACUCGGUUAAUUCGUUUCAGGAUUGAUUAGCUGGGAACUGCCUCCAGCGCUUGCCUAGAUGGGCCUCAGCGGUCUCACAGGAAGGCCCCGCACUGGGAGCCGCCAGCGCCCUGCCUUCCUGCGGCCGCUUAGCCUCUGGGGUCCAAGCCUUGGCAGGAGGUGCAAGGGAGCGACCUUCUCUGGAGCCGGGAGAGGCAGGCGCACAGGGAGGCUCCAUCCUCUCUCUUCAGCUCCAUCCUUCUUCUCUGCUCCCCGCCCACCACAGGGGAGAGGGGGCUCACGCAGGGCCUUGGCCCCUGGGCGUGCCUCAUCUUCCUCCAUCCAACAAAGGCAACACGAUGGCGAAUGCAGGGCGUGCAUUCGUGGAGCGGCGACCCCUGUCCUGGAGGUGGGCGGGGGGAGGCCAUUGUGUUGCGGCUCGCUCCCCUGGUCCCCUGUGGUCACCACCAAGCUGAAGAGGACCCACUGGCUCUGCGCGGCGGGGGCGGGGCAGGGCACAGUCUGCACCGGUGGAUCUUGUGUGCCCAGGUCAUGGCUCUGCUGUGGGGGUUGGGGGUUUGCAGACCCUCCAGUGGGCGAGGCUGGGCUGAGACUGGGGGCCUUUGUGCGGGAGUUUCCCUGCCCCUGAUCCACUGGACUGGUCUCUUGUGACACCACCUGCCUGCGGGUUGGAAGAAACAGAACCCUCUUCCCAGCCUCGGGCCUCCUCGCACCUGGGAGAAGUGGCUCUGUGGGCCCCUAACUGCUCCCUGGCCCUUCCUUCCAGGUGCCCCCAACUGAAGCACAGGUCCCUGCAGCUUCCCAGGACUCCUCCUGGGUGAUGGGCCCUUACCCUGAACUCUGGUGGGGGGGGGCCAUGCCCUGCACUGAGUUCCAGUGCACAGCACAGUGGGGUUUACAUGAGGGGACCAGGCAGACCCUGGGGAGUUCUUGGCAAAGGUUGGGGACCUGGGGACCAAAACCAGCCUGGUGUGUGUGCUUUGGUGGCUUGGAAAUGACACUGGUUCAGGGUGAGCUGAGCCACCACCAAGGGGACUCUUUCUGGUCCUCAGCGCCACCUGCCUCCUGAUCCAAAGGUCUGGACCCUGUGGGACCGAUGAUUGUAGAACGAGGAGUGGACACUGGAGGGGUGACAGGAAUGGGAAAAGAGAGACACAAUGCACUGUGACAGCAACUCCUCAGAGCUGGGAGGGGUGGGCCAGGUUCUGCACAGCCGUGCACAGCUGGGUGCAGCCUCCUGUCUGCCCCGGAGCCUAGCUGCACCCCCUCACUGAGGGUGCUAUCUUCUGGGCCCAGUGCCCAGGAGGACAGAUGGGGGGAGAUGGCGAGAGGGGUGGCCAGACCGGAUGGGGCUGUCAGCUGGCCUGGGCGAUGGCACCCUGCCCCCCCCACCCCCCACAGGGCACCAGGGCCCCCUGCAGGCUGGAAGUUCCCACAACUCCAGAACAAACAAACAGCCGGCCCCUUGCACAGCCAGCCCCCAACCCUGCUCCAAUUUCUGGGCCUGUUGACUUAGCUGCCCACUUGGUGGGAGGACCCAGCCACAUGGGGAGUUGGCUGUCCAUCUGUCUGUCCAUCUACUGGCCACACUAGCCCCCACACCCCAUGUCCUGUCAGGCAGAGGUGGGGCUCAGAGCAGGUGAGCUGAAUUCAGGCUGCCUGCAGCUUCCCCUCUGUGGCCAGGGCUGGGGAACCGCACUUUCCAGGGAAAACGCCCCAGGGUGUGUUGGCUGAAGGCGAGGCCAGAAGAAGGAUACCCGUGGACCCUCUCCUCAUAUUAUUCUGGCAGCAGGGGAUCCUGGCUGGGUACACAUCCAUUUGCGAGCGACAUGGCACCCACAUGCACGAGCACACUUGCACACGAGCGUGCAUACUCUUGCAGCACACAGUACAGGCAUGCAUGGACACCAGCCUGGACCCAGUGCACACAUGGGCACAUGCAGAACAUGACACAGACGCGCAUGUGUGUGCAGGUGCAUCCCUCACCAUGGCCCCUGGAACAGGUCCUCAGGGUGAGCAACACUCACCUUAGUGACCCAGUUGUUUAAGUUUGUUCUUAUGGAUCAUUUCCUGAAAGCGACAUGCUCAGAUGAUGGGGGGGGGGGGCAGGGAGGCGCUGGCUGGGAUGAUGCCACGGACUCCUGUAAUAGCCUCACUCAAUAGGACCCUUCUGGGAGUUCCCAUCAUGUCUCAGUGGUUAACGAAUCUGACUAGGAACCAUGAGGUUGUGGGUUCAAUCCCUGCCCUUGCUCAGUGGGUUAAGGAUCCGGCGUUGCCGUGAGCUGUGGUGUAGGUCGCAGACACGGCUCGGAUCCCACAUGGCUAUGGCUGUGGUGUAGGCUGGCGGCUACAGCUCCUGUUAGACCCCUAGCCUGGGAACCUCCAUAUGCCAUGCAUGCAGCCCUAAAAAA
rnacentral:lncRNA from 1 species